GACGAACGCUGGCGGCGUGCUUAACACAUGCAAGUCGAACGGAAAGGCCCUGCUUUUGUGGGGUGCUCGAGUGGCGAACGGGUGAGUAACACGUGAGUAACCUGCCCUUGACUUUGGGAUAACUUCAGGAAACUGGGGCUAAUACCGGAUAGGAGCUCCUGCUGCAUGGUGGGGGUUGGAAAGUUUCGGCGGGUGGGGAUGGACUCGCGGCUUAUCAGCUUGUUGGUGGGGUAGUGGCUUACCAAGGCUUUGACGGGUAGCCGGCCUGAGAGGGUGACCGGCCACAUUGGGACUGGGAUACGGCCCAGACUCCUACGGGAGGCAGCAGUGGGGAAUAUUGUACAAUGGGCGGAAGCCUGAGGCAGCAACGCCGCGUGUGGGAUGACGGCCUUCGGGUUGUAAACCGCUUUCGCCUGUGACGAAGCGGGAGUGACGGUAAUGGGUAAAGAAGCACCGGCUAACUACGUG
rnacentral:rRNA from 1 species